rnacentral:rRNA from 1 species
UAAUGGCAGGUCAGCAUACUGCCGUGAAUACGUUCCCGGGCCUUGUACACACCGCCCGUCACACCAUGAGAGUUGGGAAUACCCGAAGCCUGUGAGCUAACUUAUAGAGGCAGCAGUCAAAGGUAGAAUCAAUGAUUGGGGUGAAGUCGUAACAAGGUAGC